rnacentral:rRNA from 1 species
AUUGAACGCUGGCGGCAUGCUUUACACAUGCAAGUCGAACGGCAGCACAUGGUUCUUGCUCCUGGGUGGCGAGUGGCGAACGGGUGAGUAAUGUAUCGGAACGUGCCUGGCAGUGGGGGAUAACUACUCGAAAGAGUGACUAUUACCGCAUUUGAUCUUUGGAUGACAGCGGGGGACCUUCGGUCCUCGUGCUACUUGAGCGGCCGGUAUCAGAUCAGGUUGUUGGUGGGGUAAAGGCCUACCAAGCCUGCGAUCUGUAGCGGGUCUGAGAGGACGACCAGCGACAGUGGGACUGAGACACGGCCCAGACUCCUACGGGAGGCAGCAGUGGGGAAUGUUGGACAAUGGGCGCAAGCCUGAGCCAGCAAUGCCGAGUGCAGGACGAAGGCCUUCGGGUUGUAAACUGAUUUUGUACAGAACGAAAAGGCUCUGGCUAAUAUCGAGAGAUCAUGACGGUACUGUAAGAAGAAGCACCGGCUAACUACGUG